UUUCUAGGGCUGCUCCCGUGGCAUAUGGAGGGUCCCAGGCUAGGGGUCUAAUCGGAGCUGUAGCCGCCGGCCUAGCCAGAGCCACAGCAACGCAGGAUCCAAGCCAAGUCUGCAACCUACACCUCAGCUCAUGGCAAUGAUGGAUCCUUAACCCACUGAGCAAUGACAGGGAUCCAACCCACAACCUCAUGGUUCCUAGUCGGAUUCGUUACCCACUGAGCCACGACGGGAACUCCAUUUCUAAGUAACUUUUUAAUACUAAGCUUCUAUCAUGUAACUUUCUCUAGCAUGGUUUCCAAACUGUCACUCAGCCCACUAUUAAGCCAACACACAUAAUAAGCAGUCCACAUCAGACUUAGAGUUAAAGGACAAGAGCCAUUGUCUCUAAAUUCCUGUGUUCUUUGGGCAGGUAAUGUAUCUUUUUCUGUUCUCAGUGUUCACUUCUUUUAAAGAGAAGAAAUGGACUAUGACAACAGUGCUAGAACUCUGGUCUGUGGGCUCUUAUUCCACACCCAGAGGGCCUCUACCCAUCACGGUAAUAUAAUUGCAUGAGGCUGGAAGAGACAUCACCCAAUUGUGGGUAUGUAUUCUGAGACACCGGGGGGUCUGCAUGGGAAGGGAUCCCUUCCUGAUUAAAGGGGCAAGGGCUCAUCAAGAGAAAUAUUUUCACCCUCAUGUCCUGCUACCUCUGUCCUGACUUGAACAUGACACAUGGAGAUGAAUGGUAUAGCAGAAAGGAAGCUAUUUUCCUUGGGGACAUUGCUCAGCUGCUCCAACAGUCCUGGACUGUCCAGGUGUAGUCUAUACCUGAAGGCACCAAAAGUGAGGCCUUAUAGGUUCCUAUUUCUAUAACAGGGUUUCUAUUACUUGGAGCUGAAUGCAAGCUUCAUGGAUACAGCAUGAAAACUCUCUUUUCAAAUGAAAUCUCUUGCAAAACCCCAACACCUGAAAUGCAUACAAGUGGCUGGGAUGUUCAGAAAAAUGGAUGGGGUGUUUCUAGAGCUACUCCUCCGUAAAUUUCUGUAGUGUCAUUCCAUGGGACCAGAACUGGCCCCAAUCAAUACCUUUUCAGGUAGAGCCUCCAAAGCACCUGGGAUUCUCAGACCUUCUCAAGACUCUUGAGAAUUCUCUGCCAGGUUUCUUCUGAUGUCUUUCUUUCUCUUUUCUUUUGAUGUACUUAUUUACCCCCAUUUUGUUCUAAGAAACUGAGAUCCAAUUCAUGACCAAUGGCUACUUCCAUGCUUUUGUAGUGCCUGCAUUUGUAUUCAGUGUACAAUCGUGUUGGCCACAAGAGAUUUGAUUCUAAUUGUCAUGAACAGAGAAAGGAGCAGAGUGUGACAUGACAGGAAACAUUCCUUCAAGGUGCAGAUCAAAGGACAUCAUGGCAUGCAAAUGAACGGGACAUGGGAAGAGGAAAAAAAUCAUGGGAGAAUUAGUAUGUGUCCAGGUUAUAACCCUAUAGGCGUCUGAAAUCAAAAUAAUCUCCCACUGUGGUACAGAAGAAAUGAAUCUGAUUAAUAUCCAUGAGGAUGCAGGUUCUAUCCUUGGCAUCGCUCAGUGGGUUGGGGAUCUGGCAUUGCCAUGAGCUGUGGUGUACAUCAUAGAUGUGGCUCGGCUAUGGCAUUGCUGUGGCUGUGAUGUAGGCUGGCAGCAGUAGCUCUGAUUUGACCCCUAGCCUGGGAAACUUCAUAGGCUGCACAUGCAGCCCAUGGAAAGCAAAAAAACCCAAAAAGCUCUAGAUAGCUGUCAGCUCCCUGUUCACUGUGUUAGCCUUAUUAAAUUUCAGGAAAGCAUCCUCUACUUAAGAAACUAAUGAUUAUAAUCUCAAUAUUAUUAGAGCCUUUCUCUAUAUUUAAUUCAUAAAUUGAUUUUAGCGUUACAGAUGCUUAAGAAUGAUUAAAAUAGAGAGGUAAUAGCUAGGCAAGGAUUUGGAGGUUAUACAUAUUUAAAUAACAAUAAUAAUAAAAGUAGUUAAAUCAGCAAUGGGGGGAUGAAACUUUUUCCCCCACUUUGUUAAAAGGGGGUCUUUAAAUCACUCAAAGUCAAGACAUUCAGGACUACAGGAGAGCCCUAAACACUGCCAGAUGGUCAAAUCCAUAAUUCAAUCCUCACCUUAUGAAACUUUAAUAUUAGUAUUUAAUAUCACACAUUCACCAACAACAUGGUACGUGCCCUCAGAGGUGUUUUUAAAAUAUAAAAGAGGAAGUAAAAUCAAAUAAAUUCAUGCCUUAAAAAAAGGAUAUGUAUCAUUCUACAUUCCUUUGCAAAAGUGUGUCUUGAUGAUGAAAUGUUCCACAGGCAGGGCCUGAAUAAGCUACGCUCCCUGGGACCCCUCACCCCUCACCCCUCACCACCUGGUCCCUUCACUCAACACUCUCAGCAGGAACAUCUCUGGACGGAACAAAUAUGGGUUAAAAAUAAGGCCUUAAGAGCCUGCUCCCCCCUCACUUACGAAAUCGGAGCCCUUAGGCAAUGCUGUUCUUACUAAACGUGCCUUCUGAUUACUUCCAGGAGGCACAGUGGGGAAGAAUGACCAUGGGGUCUUCUUUUGUGAAGAGGGUAAAAUACUUCUCAUCGAGGCCACAGUUUAACCACACCAUUCAGGCUGAACACGUCACUGCUGGGCUUUGCUGUUCUAGUUCUAGCUCUAGUACAUGUGUUUCAUUCCUGUGCACAGAUCUCUUCCGUUCUGUGGCCACGCCUCUCUCCUUCUAGCCUGAACCUCUGCCCUGGAUUUCUUCUUCCAUCCCCUUCCACACGCCACUUUUUAAUCUUUUCUUUUCAAAUGCCAAGGGAACUUGAUUUUUCCCUCCUAUACUUCUAAAAGAGGGAAACUAUGGAGUUUCUUCCGGGUAGCAAGCAGCUCUGUUCAUACUCCUGCAACCUCAAGUUGCUAUUUCACGCUUACUCUGCUCAAGCUUGACACGGACUAAAUUUAGAAAAGUAUGACAUUGGAGCUUACAGAGUCUCCUUUUUCACUAGCAGUGCACUUGGCUAUGGUUCACAGUGGUGCCAAAUCUGUCCUGGCAUCCUGCUCCCUCUGUAGGCAACACAAGUGUAGUCACUGUCUACAGGUCCUACCUUGCCCCAGGUCCAUCAGUUCCCAAGCCCUCUCCAUCCCAACAGAACCCAAAGAUGAUGUUUAUGAAGAAAGUACUGGUGUGCCAUCUCUCAGAAUAAGAAUUCCUGCUGCCAGUCAGUCCCCAAUUCCCUCUGCUAAGAGCAAAACUCUUGAGAAAAUAAAAUUGCUGGCUGAGAGGGCUGACUUUUCACCCACAAACAAUGUCUGGGCACUUAUCCUAGGUCUUACAAAAAGACAGGAAAAAGUCAGGCUCCCCUACUCAUUAUUCACUCAUAAUCUAACUCUCUGCUAUCAGCUACUUAUUGAGAGAUUUGAGACCUGAAGUCAACACACACCUGUUUUGCUAGAGGUCCACCUGCAGAAGUCAAGCCACCCUUCUUCUGUUCAAGGAGUAGCCAAAAAUCCAUUCAUUCAUCCGUUUCCCCAACAAGAUGCUUGGCCAAGCCCCCUUUGGAAAACUCCAUUGCUGUUACUGAUUGCUUUGCCAGUAAUCACAAAGUUGUAGUGAGAUUUAAUCUAGCUCUUUCAGAGCUGAACCAGUUUCUUAAGUGCAAUUACAUUAUAUCGUGCAUUUUGUAGAAGCUAGGCAUAGAAUAAGGUAUAGCUUUUGUGGGGGGUGGUAGAAUCUGUAUGGCUUUAUAGCUGAUAUAUAGAAAAGAGAAUUAUUGAAAAUUCGAUUUUUUUAAAGCACUCUUUCAGUAAGGUAUGAAAUCAAACCAAUCAAUGAAAUAAGAUUCACACUACUAUAUCUCUAUCUUUUAACAAUGAUUUCUGAGUAAAUGACUGUUUUCUGUGACUCUUCAGUUGUCUAUAUUUCAUAAAAUACAGAAGUAUUUUUUUGAAGAGAACUGACAGUUACUUCAAUUUAGAAAAAUUGAAAAUUAUUAUAGAAACAGAAUUACAAAUGUUGAGCCAGCAUAUUUCUAGGCAAAUACAUCACUGAGCUUCUUAAUGACAGUCAAAAUCCCACAUAAUAAUAAAAGGUGCCAGGAACUCGUACAUACAGAUCUGUUCCUACACUCUGAAAGCGUAAUCCAAAAUAGAAACUUCAAACUCCGAUUCUCUCAAAUAAGAGCCAUUUUCUGCUAAAAAUGCCUCUCUCCAAAUUCUCCUGAAGCAAAGAGCACAGUUUCAUCUAAAAUUAUCCUCACUGCCAAUGAACUGUCCUUGCACGUAGAAAAGUUACAGAAGGUUGGAGCAGGAUGACAACACAAGAGUUCACAGACUUUGCCUUUUCACAGUCGUGUUGCCGGUCCCAUCUAACUUUCCCAAGUAUUUCUGCUCUGCUGAAAAUCACAUCUUGAGGCGGGCUGUGGAAAGAAAAGAUUACAACCCACACCAAGUAUGAACGUUAACUGUCCCCUACCUCUCUUGUCUUCUUCGCACAAAGCGGCUGGUGAGAACCCCGCACAGUCCAGGAGGCGUGUGUGGAGAGGCUGGAAGGAGGCGGCCACUGGGCCUGCGGAGGGUGAGCAGGC
ensembl:lncRNA